rnacentral:lncRNA from 1 species
GGCAGGAUGUUCCUGUGGGGGCAGGAUGGGACCAUGGGGAAGCAGAGGCUCUUACCAGCUGCAUGACCUGGGCAAUUCCCAAGCCUCUAGAAGCCUCCGUUUCCUCAACUGUAAACUGAGGUUAAUGAGAGCUGCCACGUCAUGGGGCUAUUGUGGGGAAACCUUCCCUGUCACUCAGAUUGACUCAGGCCCCUUCUUGUUCCCACUGCAGGAAUGGCAGGAAGAUCAGCCCUGAGCUAACAUCUGCUGCCAAUCCUCCUCUUUUCGCUGAGGAAGACUGGCCCUGAGCUAACAUCCGUGCCCAUCUUCCUCUACUUUAUACGUGGACGCCUACCACAGCAUGGCUUGCCAAGUGGUGCCAUGUCCGCACCCAGGAUCUGAACCGGUAAAUCCCGGGCCGCCCCGAAGCGGAAUGUGCGCACUUUACCACUGCGCCAUGGGGCCGGCCCCAAUGUUAAUUUUUUUAAAGAGCUAUAUAUAAGUGGUAUUAAAUGGAAAAAAAAGAAAAAC